GAUGAACGCUGGCGGCGUGCCUAAUACAUGCAAGUCGAGCGAACGGACGAGAAGCUUGCUUCUCUGAUGUUAGCGGCGGACGGGUGAGUAACACGUGGAUAACCUACCUAUAAGACUGGGAUAACUUCGGGAAACCGGAGCUAAUACCGGAUAAUAUUUUGAACCGCAUGGUUCAAAAGUGAAAGACGGUCUUGCUGUCACUUAUAGAUGGAUCCGCGCUGCAUUAGCUAGUUGGUAAGGUAACGGCUUACCAAGGCAACGAUGCAUAGCCGACCUGAGAGGGUGAUCGGCCACACUGGAACUGAGACACGGUCCAGACUCCUACGGGAGGCAGCAGUAGGGAAUCUUCCGCAAUGGGCGAAAGCCUGACGGAGCAACGCCGCGUGAGUGAUGAAGGUCUUCGGAUCGUAAAACUCUGUUAUUAGGGAAGAACAUAUGUGUAAGUAACUGUGCACAUCUUGACGGUACCUAAUCAGAAAGCCACGGCUAACUACGUGCCAGCAGCCGCGGUAAUACGUAGGUGGCAAGCGUUAUCCGGAAUUAUUGGGCGUAAAGCGCGCGUAGGCGGUUUUUUAAGUCUGAUGUGAAAGCCCAUGGCUCAACCGUGGAGGGUCAUUGGAAACUGGAAAACUUGAGUGCAGAAGAGGAAAGUGGAAUUCCAUGUGUAGCGGUGAAAUGCGCAGAGAUAUGGAGGAACACCAGUGGCGAAGGCGACUUUCUGGUCUGUAACUGACGCUGAUGUGCGAAAGCGUGGGGAUCAAACAGGAUUAGAUACCCUGGUAGUCCACGCCGUAAACGAUGAGUGCUAAGUGUUAGGGGGUUUCCGCCCCUUAGUGCUGCAGCUAACGCAUUAAGCACUCCGCCUGGGGAGUACGACCGCAAGGUUGAAACUCAAAGGAAUUGACGGGGACCCGCACAAGCGGUGGAGCAUGUGGUUUAAUUCGAAGCAACGCGAAGAACCUUACCAAAUCUUGACAUCCUUUGACAACUCUAGAGAUAGAGCUUUCCCCUUCGGGGGACAAAGUGACAGGUGGUGCAUGGUUGUCGUCAGCUCGUGUCGUGAGAUGUUGGGUUAAGUCCCGCAACGAGCGCAACCCUUAAGCUUAGUUGCCAUCAUUAAGUUGGGCACUCUAAGUUGACUGCCGGUGACAAACCGGAGGAAGGUGGGGAUGACGUCAAAUCAUCAUGCCCCUUAUGAUUUGGGCUACACACGUGCUACAAUGGACAAUACAAAGGGCAGCGAAACCGUGAGGUCAAGCAAAUCCCAUAAAGUUGUUCUCAGUUCGGAUUGUAGUCUGCAACUCGACUACAUGAAGCUGGAAUCGCUAGUAAUCGUAGAUCAGCAUGCUACGGUGAAUACGUUCCCGGGUCU
rnacentral:rRNA from 1 species